GAAGCUGCAGAAACAACACUGACCACCUAUCUCUAAGCCACUGCCGAUGUGAGAAUUGACAUAUUUUAGUUGAAAUACUUUUUUGGACUACAGACUAAUGUGAAUACUUGCCUAUUUCUACCUGAGUUACAGCAAAUGUUCUGAGAACUUAUUGCGGUCCACCAAAUAAAUUCCAUUGGAGAUAUUGUAGAUGCCUGUGUGCCUUAGAAACUUUAGAGGCCACAGGAGGCUCAGGAGUGCAAGACCAUCGUCACCCGCAAAGGAACCAUGUGCUUGGGUAGCAAGAUUAUACUUUGUUAAUAUGAUCAAUUAUUCCAGUUAAUGGAUUUUCUUAUGCAGUGCAGAUGGGAUAGAUCCUUUCAUAGUUUGUACUAGGCUAUUAUAAAAGACCAUAUUUAACACGUGUGCUUAAUAAUGACAACAAGGUUGACAUCCAAAUAUCAGAAUCAGGUGGAAGAAAGAAGGGUAAUUUCCGUAGAAGAUUGUUUGGUUUAGACUCACUGUGCUUGAAGCAACUCCAGAUUAUGAGUUUAAUUUCACUUUGCAAAGAGGAACAGUUGAUCAAAACUGUCUACCUCUAAAAGAGCAUCUUCAUACAGUUACCAUGCAACCAAAAGUUAGGAUGCAAACUUUACCCUUUAAGAACUCAGUGUCAACACACCAUGGGAUCCGCC
rnacentral:lncRNA from 1 species